rnacentral:rRNA from 1 species
UACGGGGGGGGCAAGCGUUGUUCGGAAUUACUGGGCGUAAAGGGCGCGUAGGCGGCCUGCUAAGUCGGAUGUGAAAUCCCUCGGCUCAACCGAGGAACUGCAUCCGAUACUGGCGGGCUUGAAUCCGGGAGAGGGAUGUGGAAUUCCAGGUGUAGCGGUGAAAUGCGUAGAUAUCUGGAGGAACACCGGUGGCGAAGGCGGCAUCCUGGACCGGUAUUGACGCUGAGGCGCGAAAGCGUGGGUAGCAAACGGG